CCCAAGGGCGGGCGGCCUACCAUGCAAGUCGAGCGGUAGCACAGAGAGCUUGCUCUCGGGUGACGAGCGGCGGACGGGUGAGUAAUGUCUGGGAAACUGCCUGAUGGAGGGGGAUAACUACUGGAAACGGUAGCUAAUACCGCAUAACGUCGCAAGACCAAAGUGGGGGACCUUCGGGCCUCAUGCCAUCAGAUGUGCCCAGAUGGGAUUAGCUAGUAGGUGGGGUAACGGCUCACCUAGGCGACGAUCCCUAGCUGGUCUGAGAGGAUGACCAGCCACACUGGAACUGAGACACGGUCCAGACUCCUACGGGAGGCAGCAGUGGGGAAUAUUGCACAAUGGGCGCAAGCCUGAUGCAGCCAUGCCGCGUGUGUGAAGAAGGCCUUCGGGUUGUAAAGCACUUUCAGCGGGGAGGAAGGCGGUGAGGUUAAUAACCUUGUCGAUUGACGUUACCCGCAGAAGAAGCACCGGCUAACUCCGUGCCAGCAGCCGCGGUAAUACGGAGGGUGCAAGCGUUAAUCGGAAUUACUGGGCGUAAAGCGCACGCAGGCGGUCUGUCAAGUCGGAUGUGAAAUCCCCGGGCUCAACCUGGGAACUGCAUUCGAAACUGGCAGGCUAGAGUCUUGUAGAGGGGGGUAGAAUUCCAGGUGUAGCGGUGAAAUGCGUAGAGAUCUGGAGGAAUACCGGUGGCGAAGGCGGCCCCCUGGACAAAGACUGACGCUCAGGUGCGAAAGCGUGGGGAGCAAACAGGAUUAGAUACCCUGGUAGUCCACGCCGUAAACGAUGUCGAUUUGGAGGUUGUGCCCUUGAGGCGUGGCUUCCGGAGCUAACGCGUUAAAUCGACCGCCUGGGGAGUACGGCCGCAAGGUUAAAACUCAAAUGAAUUGACGGGGGCCCGCACAAGCGGUGGAGCAUGUGGUUUAAUUCGAUGCAACGCGAAGAACCUUACCUGGUCUUGACAUCCACAGAACUUUCCAGAGAUGGAUUGGUGCCUUCGGGAACUGUGAGACAGGUGCUGCAUGGCUGUCGUCAGCUCGUGUUGUGAAAUGUUGGGUUAAGUCCCGCAACGAGCGCAACCCUUAUCCUUUGUUGCCAGCGGUUAGGCCGGGAACUCAAAGGAGACUGCCAGUGAUAAACUGGAGGAAGGUGGGGAUGACGUCAAGUCAUCAUGGCCCUUACGACCAGGGCUACACACGUGCUACAAUGGCAUAUACAAAGAGAAGCGACCUCGCGAGAGCAAGCGGACCUCAUAAAGUAUGUCGUAGUCCGGAUUGGAGUCUGCAACUCGACUCCAUGAAGUCGGAAUCGCUAGUAAUCGUAGAUCAGAAUGCUACGGUGAAUACGUUCCCGGGCCUUGUACACACCGCCCGUCACACCAUGGGAGUGGGUUGCAAAAGAAGUAGGUAGCUUAACCUUCGGGAGGGCGCUUACCACUUUGGAUAACCGG
rnacentral:rRNA from 1 species